rnacentral:rRNA from 1 species
CCCGACUGCUAUCGGAUUGAGAUUUAGCCAUGCGAGUCGAACGUCCCCCUGUUGCGGGGGGCGUGGCGUACGGCUCAGUAACACGUAGUCAACCUGCCCUGGAGACACGGACAACCCCGGGAAACUGGGACUAAUCCGUGAUAGGUCACCUCAUCUGGAAGGAGAGAUGGCCCAAAGGGGCGCGCGGGCUUCUUCUGCGCGUUCGCUCCAGGAUGGGACUGCGACCGAUCAGGCUGUUGGCGGGGUAAAGGCCCACCAAACCUGUAACCGGUACGGGCCUUGAGAGAGGUGGCCCGGAGAUGGACACUGAGAAAAGGGUCCAGGUCCUACGGGGCGCAGCAGGCGCGAAAACUUCGCAAUGCGCGAAAGCGUGACGAGGCUAGUCCGAGUGCUCCCUGCUAAAGGGAGCUUUUCUCGGCUGUAAAUAGGCCGGGGAAUAAGGGGAGGGCAAGUCUGGUGUCAGC